CUAAGGCUCCAGAGGAAGCCACGGCUAACUCUGUGCCAGCAGCCGCGGUAAUACAGAGGCGGCAAGCGUUGUUCGGAAUUAUUGGGCGUAAAGAGCACGUAGGCGGCCUUGCAAGUCAGUUGUGAAAGCCUUCCGCUUAACGGAAGAAUGCCAGCUGAUACUACAGGGCUUGAGUACGGGAGGGGAGAGUGGAACUUCUGGUGGAGCGGUGAAAUGCGUAGAUAUCAGUAGGAACGCCGGCGGCGAAAGCGACUCUCUGGCCCGAAACUGACGCUGAGUGUGCGAAAGCUAGGGGAGCAAACGGGAUUAGAUACCCCGGUAGUCCUAGCCGUAAA
rnacentral:rRNA from 1 species